rnacentral:lncRNA from 1 species
AUGCUGGGAUUUGAGGUGGCUCAAUCUGUGCCUUCUCUUACAGGGCUUAACUCUGGGGGUGGAGACCCACGAGGGACACCUGGAGCCAAAGCUGGAGGAAAAUCCCCGAUCCAAGCCUGUGGAGGGACUGGAAGAGAUGAAAAAGGGGAAAGCAGCAGGAUACACACGCAGCCCUUGAUUACAGGAUCCGCGGGGCAGCGGGAGCUGAAUGCUGAUAAUUGAGCCGUCAGCGAGGAGGAGGAGGCACCACACGGGGUGAUGGGCACAGCCCUG